rnacentral:rRNA from 1 species
UACAGAGGUCUCAAGCGUUGUUCGGAUUCAUUGGGCGUAAAGGGUGCGUAGGCGGCGCGGUAAGUCGGGUGUGAAAUUUCGGAGCUUAACUCCGAAACUGCAUUCGAUACUGCCGUGCUUGAGGACUGGAGAGGAGACUGGAAUUUACGGUGUAGCAGUGAAAUGCGUAGAGAUCGUAAGGAAGACCAGUGGCGAAGGCGGGUCUCGUGGACAGUUCCUGACGCUGAGGCACGGAAGGCCAGGGGAGCAAACGGG